GAUGAACGCUGGCGGCGUGCCUAAUACAUGCAAGUCGAGCGAACAGACGAGGAGCUUGCUCCUCUGACGUUAGCGGCGGACGGGUGAGUAACACGUGGAUAACCUACCUAUAAGACUGGGAUACCUUCGGGAAACCGGAUCUAAUACCGGAUCAUAUAUUGAACCGGAUGGUUCAUUAGUGAAAGACGGUUUUGCUGUCACUUAUAGAUGGAUCCGCGCCGCAUUAGCUAGUUGGUAAGGUAACGGCUUACCAAGGCAACGAUGCGUAGCCGACCUGAGAGGGUGAUCGGCCACACUGGAACUGAGACACGGUCCAGACUCCUACGGGAGGCAGCAGUAGGGAAUCUUCCGCAAUGGGCGAAAGCCUGACGGAGCAACGCCGCGUGAGUGAUGAAGGUCUUCGGAUCGUAAAACUCUGUUAUUAGGGAAGAACAAAUGUGUAAGAAACUAUGCACGUCUUGACGGUACCUAAUCAGAAAGCCACGGCUAACUACGUG
rnacentral:rRNA from 1 species